UUCCAGUGUUGCUGCUUGGAUGUGUAACUCUGGGAAAGUUACUUAUCCUCUUUCUGCCUCAGUUUCCUCAUCUGUAAAUUGGAGAUAGUAAUACCUACCUCGGAAGGUGGAUGUGAGGAUUU
ensembl:snoRNA